GAUGAACGCUAGCUACAGGCUUAACACAUGCAAGUCGCGGGGCAGCAUGGGGGUUGCUUGCAACUCCCGAUGGCGACCGGCGCACGGGUGAGUAACGCGUAUCCAACCUGCCCUUCACCACGGGAUAACCCGGCGAAAGUCGGACUAAUACCGUAUGUUGUCCAUUGACGGCAUCCGAUUUGGACGAAAGGCUUUGCGGUGAAGGUUGGGGAUGCGUCCGAUUAGCCAGACGGCGGGGUAACGGCCCACCGUGGCUACGAUCGGUGGGGGUGCUGAGAGGAAGGUCCCCCACACUGGAACUGAGGCACGGUCCAGACUCCUACGGGAGGCAGCAGUGAGGAAUAGUGGUCAAUGGACGUAAACCUGAACCAGCCAAGUAGCGUGCAGGAUGACGGCCCUAUGGGUUGUAGACUGCUUUUAUGCGGGGAUAAAGUGGCCCACGUGUGGGCUUUUGCAGGUACCGAAUGAAUAAGGACCGGCUAAUUCCGUG
rnacentral:rRNA from 1 species